rnacentral:rRNA from 1 species
CUCAGGACUGAGAUAACCCCGGGAAACUGGGGCUAAUAUUAGAUAGAUAAAAGAUACUGGAAUGUUCUUUUAUCCAAAGCUUUUGCGCCUGAGGAUGGGCCUGCGUCCGAUUAGGUUGUUGGUGGGGUAAUGGCCCACCAAGCCUGCGAUCGGUACGGGCAGUGGGAGCUGAAGCCCGGAGUUGGGGACUGAGACAAGGCCCCAGGCCCUACGGGGCGCAGCAGGCGCGAAACCUCUGCAAUGCGGGAAACCGUGACAGGGGGAUCCCAAGUGCUCAUGCAUUGCAUGGGCUGUUCUUUGGUCUAAGUAACCAGAGGAGUAAGGGCUGGGCAAGACCGGUGCCAGCCGCCGCGGUAAUACCGGCAGCUCAAGUGGUAGCCGCGAUUAUUGGGCCUAAAACGUUCGUAGCCGGAUAGGUAAGUCUUUGGUUAAAUCCUGCGACUCAACCGUGGGAAUUCUAGAGAUACUGCUUGUCUUGAGACCGGGAGAGGUUGGAGGUACUCCUAGGGUAGGGGUGAAAUCCUGUAAUCCUAGGGGGACCACCUGUGGCGAAGGCGUCCAACUGGAACGGGUCUGACGGUGAGGGACGAAACCUAGGGGAGCGAGCCGGAUUAGAUACCCGGGUAGUCCUAGGCGUAAAUGAUGCGAGUUAAGUGUGGGGGCAUCUACGAGAUGGCCCUGUGCUGUAGGGUGGCCGUUAAACUCGCUGCCUGGGGAGUACGGUCGCAAGGCUGAAACUUAAAGGAAUUGGCGGGGGAGCACCACAAGAGGUGGAGGCUGCGGUUCAAUUGGAGUCAACGCCGGG